rnacentral:rRNA from 1 species
CCUACGGGAGGCAGCAGUGAGGAAUAUUGGUCAAUGGCCGGGAGGCUGAACCAGCCAAGCAGCGUGAGGGAUGACUGCGCUAUGGGUUGUAGACUUCUUUUAUCUGGGGAUAAAAUGUUCCACGGGUCGGGUUUUGUAUGUACCAUAUGAAUAAGGAUCGGCUAACUCCGUGCCAGCAGCCGCGGUAAUACGGAGGAUCCGAGCGUUAUCCGGAUUUAUUGGGUUUAAAGGGUGCGUAGGUGGGUUGUUAAGUCAGUUGUGAAAGUGUGCGGCUCAACCGUAACAUUGCAGUUGAAACUGGCAGUCUUGAGUACAGUAGAGGUGGGCGGAAUUCGUGGUGUAGCGGUGAAAUGCUUAGAUAUCACGAAGAACUCCGAUUGCGAAGGCAGCUCACCGGACUGCAACUGACACUGAGGCUCGAAAGUGUGGGUAUCAAACAGGAUUAGAUACCCCGGUAGUC